GCGGAACGGAGACAAAGCGUCCUCCCAGAGGAGGGAACAGGUGGCAUCUGUGCGUUUGAAGGGAGUCGCGGUUGAUUAUGCCCUAGAAUGGAUUAUUUCGGAAGGAAUAGCAACAAAACAUUGUGUCAAUAGCAUGAUUGUGCCAUUCUGACUUGGACCUGUGGCUUCUGAUUCAGCCUGAGAGAUAAUUCACCAGUGAUUUAUAGGGGAGGCACUGUGUAAGUUACAUAAUUGUCAUGUUUGUAUUAUUUGUAUAUUUGUUCCAUUCAUUUCAUUAGGAUCAUGAGAUAUUAUUUGCUUGCUCAGGAAAAAGUUGCAAAGGUACCAUUGAGUGUAUAAUGAAGGAUUUAUUUUAUACUCCCAUUGCUGUUUGCUCCCAUUA